rnacentral:rRNA from 1 species
CUAAGCAGUAAGGCUGAGUAUUAGGCAAAUCCGGUACUCAUUAAGGCUGAGCUGUGAUGGGGAGAAGACAUUGUGUCUUCGAGUCGUUGAUUUCACACUGCCGAGAAAAGCCUCUAGAUAGAAAAUAGGUGCCCGUACCGCAAACCGACACAGGUAGUCAAGAUGAGAAUUCUAAGGUGAGCGAGCGAACUCUCGUUAAGGAACUCGGCAAAAUGACCCCGUAACUUCGGGAGAAGGGGUGCUCUUUAGGGUUAACGCCCAGAAGAGCCGCAGUGAAUAGGCCCAAGCGACUGUUUAUCAAAAACACAGGUCUCUGCUAAACCGUAAGGUGAUGUAUAGGGGCUGACGCCUGCCCGGUGCUGGAAGGUUAAGAGGAGUGGUUAGCUUCUGCGAAGCUACGAAUCGAAGCCCCAGUAAACGGCGGCCGUAACUAUAACGGUCCUAAGGUAGCGAAAUUCCUUGUCGGGUAAGUUCCGACCCGCACGAAAGGCGUAACGAUUUGGGCACUGUCUCAACGAGAGACUCGGUGAAAUCAUAGUACCUGUGAAGAUGCAGGUUACCCGCGACAGGACGGAAAGACCCCGUGGAGCUUUACUGUAGCCUGAUAUUGAAAUUCGGCACAGCUUGUACAGGAU